AAUCAGAUGGGAGCGGAUUCUGAAAAGAACAAUUUACAUUUGGGAGUUAGCGCGGUACCGGCGUAAAGAAGUGAUGCUGCUGACCACGUUUAGCGUGCAGAGCUGAACGCGACCCCGGGAGUCGGCAGAAAGCAGGCCUGGCCACCUAGGUCACUUGAACUGGGGAAGGUUGUGAAGCAGGAGAGGUGUGGUGCAGAGGAAAACCGAAAGGCCUCCUGAAGAGGGCAUUGGGCAGGGCCCGCCUUGGUUUUCCUCUGGUAAUUCUGCCUACAUGUCCAGUUAAAUCCCGGACCCGGACCCAGACCCCAGCAAAGCUGCCAGGAACCCCCUAGAGCCAUUCAUUGAAGAAAAGUCCUUCCGUAACUGGAGCGAUGGGAACCCAGUCCUUUCCGGUUAGAGAUUAUGAGCACUUGAUCUUCGAUUUCUGUGCGCUCCUUCCCUCUCAGUCCAGACACCAGUCUGAACCAAACCCGAAUAGAAGAGUUUGGGGGAUGCUUUGGGAAGCUAGCUAAUAAGCAGCCCUUCCCGGCGUACUUGGAGAAGACUUGCACCGCACAGUUCCUCCCAGGAUAGGAUGCUUUGGAAUUUUGCUACCAAUAGAACUCUAGAGGCUUUACCUUUGCCUUGCGAAUGCACAAAGGCGCGCACACUCAGGCACACCCACGGGCUCUCUCCGAGUGCGCGCGUAGGCACCUGCGCAUAAUCAAGACCCACACAGAUGCCUCUUUGGGAGAUGAACUCAGCCUGGAGUACUUUUAAGUGGUAACUGCUCCCAUUUCCUCCUCUCUUUCCUGGGCUCCCCUCUUUGCCGCCUGGCCCAGGUUCCAGGUUUACCCCUGGAUGGUGCAUCCCUGGGUUUAGCAAUCUGAGCUAUCCUUUGGCUGCCUGAUUCCAGAGGAGCAGCGUGCCUGGGGCUGCGGUUCCCGCCGCGCAGUCUCCGUCCAGUUUGGCCACACCGGCUGGGGCUCCAGGUUCCAGAGCAGUCUCCAGCGGUAGAUUGCAGAGCGUGAAGCGAGUUCGAGAGUCCGGGCAUCCACUCCGAGCAGCUAGAUACUGGCCAGUAAGAUUCCAUGCAAAUUUGUAAAGGGGCUCUGGAGGACAAACACUUCAGCCAACACCCCGAAGUCCUGGAGAGUCUCCACUAAAAUCGAGAGCGCUUCCCUGGUGGGCUUCUAGUCAAGGAAGUGGAUAACCCAGUGAUCCAAGAAAUCCCAGGCGAGAACCUCCACCGAAGAGAGGUCAGUUCUGGAGGCACUCGAGAGAAAGUGAUGCUUUCUGAUUUCUCUUUAAACUUUGCAGCUCUGUGGACUCCAGGGCGACCGAUGGAGUCGCCCUAGCUCGGUCUCCAGGCAGAUCCAAAUGAGCACUUCCAAGUACUUUAGGAUGCGGGGGUGACUCCUUUUUCCUUCAGGACUGUCCCACUUGUCCAGCUCAGCUGAAAGGAACUAGAGGUCUCCAAGAUAAGGAUUUGCGGUUCCACGAAAGGGACAAAGUAUAUAUCCAAAUAUUGAAUUAGAACCCCAAAGACUUUGCCUAUCUGGAUUGAGUAACUUCCUUUUUUCCUUGUUUUUGAUUACAAUUUAUACCGGGACAGAGGUGAGAAAAGGACUCACCACCAAUUGGGCCAACUGAAGAUGUUAACAGUUGGGAACAAGACAAAAUUCAAAUUUCACCUUGGGGUGCUUUUAAUUAAACCUGCGGGGGCUUGUUUUGCGGUGAGAAAGAUGACAUCAGCGUUUGGCUGAAGUGUUCUUUCCAGGUUCAACUCUUUCCAGGCAGACAUGGCCUCUUAACUUCACCUCCCAGGGCAGCGCUUACUGCUGAGGGUGUUGGCCUCUGCUCUCCCAGCUCCACUUCCCUCUAGGAAACUGUGUCUGCUGAGGCAGGAAUCUUUCACUCUGCAGGUAAACCCACAGAUCCAUGCAUCACUCAGGCCGGACAAGAGACGAUUCUUCUUGCAGUAGAUGACAAUUAACACAGAAACCCACAACAUGUGAACAUGCAGAAGACAAGAAACAUUACAAUGCUCAGCCCUGAGUCUGUACCAUAUGCCCUGCUCAAGGCCAAAAGAUCUAUGAAGAAGAGGAUGUGGAAAGAUUGUAAGAGUCAGAGCAGGUCAUGGUUGAUUUCAAGGAAAGCAGUGUUUUCAAGACACAAAAAGGUACAAGACCACAAGCUCAAGCAAGACAAAAUCCCAGUACUGAAGAGUGGAGAUGGGCAUGAAGUCUCAUCCCUGGUUGAGGAGCUAUUCACAUUUGAUUACUUCUGGAAGAAGGAAAGUUCAUUUUCUUCAAUAGAGUAACACCUGUUAUACUAACCACACUCCAGGACAGGUGAUGCACCAAGGAACAGUCAGAGAAACUAAGUUCUGCAGGAAUAGGGGGAGUGUUGGAUAGGUAGGGAGAUGGGCAGGACCUGGGAAGAAUUGGGGGAAAGACAAUAAUGUGACUAAAACAGAGUGUAUGGAACUCUCAAAGGAUAAAUGAAAACAUUAUUUAAUUUAAAAAUUUUAAUUUUGCUUUUCUGGAAACAAUUGUUUUCUGUUUUAUUUUUAUUACUAUUUAUUAUUUUUUUUGAGGGACAGAUGGACUCAUAACUAUUUCUUUGUUGUGCAUGCUUUGCUUUUCAGGGAUAAAAUAAUCUCCCAGUGGGAGUCUGUUUUCUUCGUUUUUGUUUUUGUUUUGCGUCAUUGCAAUAUAUCCUUGCUAUGGUGUGCCCUAAAAAGUAAAUGCUGAAACUGAAAGGCGACAAUACUGAGCACAGCCCGAGAGAGUGGACACUGUUCUGAACAAGUUCUGUUUAGUUCUGGCAAAGAAAGUGUCUGUGUCUCAUCUCCCAGCUGAUGAAACGUGGGGCAGUGUCAGUAAGGACCCCAUUACAAGGGCUGCCCUUCCGACUCUGUGCGAUCACAUUUACAUACACAAGGAGUUUUUAUUAGACAUGGUGUGACAACGAGACUUCCUGUAAUUGUGUUUUCUCGUUUCCAACACUAUUUGCUUUACUUAUCCCUUUGAUGAUGAAAUGUAUAAAGGAAUGGAACCAACUUCAUUUAAUCAUUUAUUUUGCGAUUUUUUUUUCCAGAAACCGCAAGCUUUUCUCUGCUAUUUUAAUAUUGAACCGAGCAUAUGUUAGACACAUGAAGCAUGGGUGAAACAGAUUGCCCAGCCUGGUAGGUCAUAUGUCAAAGUAUGUUUUAUUCUAUUCUUAAACUAAGAAGUGUUUAACAGGUGAAACAGAACGGCUACCAGGAGCCGCAAAGCAAGAGGAUGAUAUAGAUCCUUUUAGCACUCAGCAAUCCUGAUACAAAGCCACUGACCAGCUGUUCUCUCUGUUGUUUCUAGCAGUGUGGGGAUCAUCGCUGUGAAAUGAUGAUGAGUCAGCCUUGACACGCAGUGUGUUAAGCUUAACUCCAACUGAAUAAGUAAUUUCUCUAUCAAAUAUGACAUUUGAUUGUACUGUACCACUGUUUACCCAAAAUUAUAAUCGGAAAAUUGACAUUUAUCAUUAAUUCAACAUGUAGCACCUAUGCUUUCAUGUGCAUAUUCCUAUCCUGACAUGUUUUGUGAUAUUUACAACCUAAGAAAGGAAAAAAAUUAACAUAUAUAUUAAGUUUUAGAUUACAUUUAGAAUAAAAUAGGAUCUUGAUGUUUGGAAGGUUAUUUCAGAGUUGUGAAAAUUAUUUUCCUCCUCUAUUGUUUGUGUAAGGAUUACAUUACCUCAUCAAUCCUGGCGGCUAUGGUCAGAAGGAAAUCUUGAAGACAUUUUUCCUAUAUCUGAAGUAUAUAUAGUAGCAGUAGUCAUUAACUAGUCCAUAUAAUUCAAAUAAGUGUAUGAUUAAUACAUAUUAGGUAUGCAUAUACAAGAAAUAAUGUAUUACUUCAAAAAUUACUAUAAGUAUACAUGCCUGUCUGUAAUAACUACUUUAAAAACCAUCCUAUUUAGGGAAUAGUAAAAUGACUCAGUCAGUAAAGUGCUUUCCAGGCAAGGAUCAUUACUUGAGAUCGGUCCCAAAUACCCAAUUAAAAUUUCAGGUUCUAGUGAGAAAUUCUGAGUCAUGAAACAAGAUGAGUUCACAGCUCAUUAGAAACAGCACCCAGAGUUGUCCUCUGACUCCCACAUUCAUACACACACAUACACACGCAAACACACACACUCAUGCACUUGCACGUGCAGGAGCACUGCUCCCACACAACUAUCCCAUUCAUUCACAUUCACACGUAUUUGAAUUUACAUGGAUAGAAAUCUAAUUUUGACAGUAAUCUGCAGAUAACUAUUUCAACUGCAAAUUUAAAAUAAAAAAUAAUUAAAAUCACAAGCUAACUUUCUGUACUUGAAUUUAAAUGCAGUAAAAACUAUAAUAACUCUAAAAAAUACUUUCCCUUGAAAACAGAGUAAACUGGAUUUUUUUUAUUAACCCAUAGGUUAGUGGUCAAUCAUUAGAGUUCUGAAAAUUAGAACUGCCCAGUUUUCUUGAUUUUAGGCAGAUUGCAGUAAACAUAAUGAUGGAGCAUCACUACCGUAAAGGGCUCAUGUUCUGGAAUGAAAAGGAAGCAUUUAAAUAUGUAAUUGAAUUCAGUACACUCUAGGGCAAUGUGAGGUAUGUCUGUUUCUGAACAGUGAACAUUUUUAUGCCUUGAUAAGGAAUUUUAAUUUGAUAAUCAGCAGUGAACUUAUUUGGUCCAUGUCAAAGUAUAAUAGAUAAGAACUUCUAUUUGGGAACUACUUGUGCAUUAGUGUUGAAGUUGAAGAGAUAACUGAACAUUAAUUUUAAAAAGAUUCCACAACAACAAUUAUUGUUGUGUAAACAUGAAAUAAAAUGCGUGAGUCUGAGACAGAAAAAAAAGUCAGAUUUGAGAAUUGACAGAAGUAGAUUUAAUGGCUAAUCAGAUCCUUAGACCGACUCUCAAGUAUUUUAUUCAUAAUGCCUAUUAUUCAUAACAGAAGAAACUAUAUGAGUCUCCUUCUCUGGUAAUUUAGAGCAAAGGUCUACUACAGAAGAGUUGAAAACUGUGAGGCAGAGCAACUACAAAGGAACACAGUAACUGACACGCCAUAGAAGCACAAAAAAGAAGAUAUUGAUACUCAUAGGCAAUUCAUAGGUUUGAACUUGAAUAAGCUGUUUGUUGCUAACAAAUGUUUAGUAAUCAGGUUGGCAAAAAUAUUCAGGAAGAAAAUAAGAAUGAUUUGUAUAUAUAACCCUAGCUCUAACCCUUGAUAACUCUAAUGAUAUCUGUGAUUGAAAAGAUUCAACCUCGGCUGACUUUGCAUUGCUGUAUGAGAUCAUUGAACAAAGAGUUGGGAAGAAUUAUGCACAGUUGACCUCAGCCAGCCAGAAAGCUGGUUCUAGCUUGCCAAUGACUGCAAGAUGCAGAAGUGUCCCCAUAUGACAUUUUUGUUGUUAUUCUUGUUAGGGAUUCCACAAUGUUGACCAGGAUACUCCCUCUCGAAAUCUCUCCAAGCAUGUUGUGCUAGUGGAGGGAUUUGUAUGGCAGAGAUGGGGUAGGGAGAAGGGGUUGAUUAGUUCUGUAAAUAGAGCCACAUUUGUGACUGAUUGGGAAAACAUAAGUGAUUUAAAGGGCUUAUGGUAAGUGAUUUAAAGCAGCCACAGAUGGAUGAAUACAUUCUCUCUCAAGUGAAAGCUGAAAUAUUUUAGUGACUAUCUAUAGGAGUGUAGAAUAGUGCAGCACAGUGAUGUCACUACACUUUGCACUGAUGUGUUAUAUAUUCUAUUCUUAAAAAAAAAAGAGCUGGGUGGUGGUGGUGCAUGCCUUUAAUCCCAGCACUUGGGAGGCAGAGCCAUCCCUCUUUCCCUCUCUCCCUCCCUCUAUGUGUAUGUGAGAGCAUGCAUGUGCAUAUAUGUGUAUCUGCCCAUGUGUUCAGUAACUAUGGAGGGUGGAAACACUGGUUUACCUGGAGCUGGAUUUACAGGUUGCUAUGAGGCACCUAACAUAAGUGCUGGGGCCUGACUCAGGUACUCUGCUGGAACAGUAAUGGCUCUUAAUGUUGAGCAAAGGAGAUGGAAAUGUUAAUUGUUCUUCAUAUAUAUAUAUAUAUAUAUAUAAUAAUCACACUAUGUCUCAUAAAUAUACAAACUAAUUAUAUAUAAAGUAAAAUAAGAUAAAUGCUUCUAAGGGAUUUGAAAGUCUCUUUUACAAGGUUACAGAAUUAUAAUUUAAAUGGCUGAAAAACAGUUGUUGAAAUGUUUAACAUCUUUAGUCAUCAAGGAAGUGUAAAUCAAAACUACUUUGAGAUUUCUUUUUAUACCCAUUAGAAUGGCUAAGAUUAAAAAGCAAAAACUAAAAGACAAGUGAAAGCAAAUAUUGGCAAGGGUGUCUAGUGAGGGGAAUACUCACUCAUUGCUUGUGGGACUGAAAAAUUGUUCAAUCACUAAGGAAAUCAGCAUGGUGGCUUCUCAGGAAGAUGGAAAUCAAUCUACCUAAGUUUCUACUGUACCACUCUUAUGCAUACAACCAAAGGA